CCUACGGGUGGCAGCAGUGGGGAAUAUUGCGCAAUGGGCGCAAGCCUGACCCAGCAACGCCGCGUGAAGGAAGAAGGCUUUCGGCUCGUAAACUUCUAUCCUGAGGGACGAAGGAAAUGACGGUACCUCAGGAAUAAGCCACGGCUAACUACGUGCCAGCAGCCGCGGUAAUACGUAGGGGGCGAGCGUUAUCCGGAAUUACUGGGUGUAAAGGGUGCGUAGACGGCGAGGUAAGCCUGAUGUGGAAGCCCGCGGCUGAACCGGGGAACUGCAUUGGGAACUGUUUAGCUAGAGUAUAGGAGAGGAAAGCGGAAUUCCUGGUGUAGCGGUGAAAUGCGUAGAUAUCAGGAGGAACACCGGUGGCGAAGGCGGCUUACUGGACCAUAACUGACGCUGAGGCUCGAAAGCGUGGGGAGCGAACAGGAUUAGAUACCCCGGUAGUC
rnacentral:rRNA from 1 species